AUUGAACGCUGGCGGCAGGCUUAACACAUUCAAGUCGAACGAGUGGCGGACGGGUGAGUAAUGCUUGGGAAUCUAGCUUAUGGAGGGGGAUAACUACGGGAAACUGUAGCUAAUACCGCGUACCAUAGGAGGAGCCCAAGUGGGAUGAGUUGGUGGGUUAGGUAAAGGCUCACAAAGCCGACGAUCACUAGCUGGUCUGAGAGGAUGACCAGCCACACUGGGACUGGGACACGGCCCAGACUCCGACGGGAGGCAGCAGUGGGGAAUAUUGCGCAAUGGGGGCAACCUGACGCAGCCAUGCCGCGUGAAUGAAGAAGGCCUUCGGGUUGUAAAGUUCGUUCGGUAGCGAGGCGUUAACUACAGAAGAAGCACCGGCUAACUCCGUGCCAGCAGCCGCGGUAAUAC
rnacentral:rRNA from 1 species